UACGAAGGGGGCAAGCGUUACUCGGAAUUAUUGGGCGUAAAGAGUGCGUAGGCGGCUUUAAAAGUUGUAAGUGAAAGCCUUUGGCUCAACCAAAGAAAUGCUUACAAAACUGUAAAACUAGAGUAUUGGAGAGGAUAGAAGAAUUCCUGAUGUAGGAGUGAAAUCCGUAGAUAUUAGGAGGAACACCGAAAGCGAAAGCAUCUGUCUAGCCAAAUACUGACGCUGUUGCACGAAAGCGUGGGUAGCAAACAGG
rnacentral:rRNA from 1 species